AGCGAACGCUGGCGGCAGGCUUAACACAUGCAAGUCGAGCGGGCCUUUCGGGGUCAGCGGCGGACGGGUGAGUAACGCGUUGGAACGUGCCCUCUGGUUCGGAAUAACUCAGGGAAACUCGAGCUAAUACCGGCUACACUCCUUUGGACAUAGGCUUGCUGCCGGAGGAUGGGCCGCCGUCGGCUUACCUUGAUGGUGACGUAACGCGUCAUCAAGGCGACGUUCAGUAGAUGGUAUGAGAGGAUGAUCAGCCACACUGGUAGUGAGACACGGCCCGGACUACUACGCGAGGGAGCAGUGGCGGAUACUGGCAUAUCGGCGGAAUGCAGAAGCAGCCAUGCUGGGUGAGUAAUGAAGGUUUGAGGGUUGUAAAGCUAUUUUAUCCGGUACGAUAAUGACGUUACCGGAAGAAUAAGCCCCGGCUAACUUCGUG
rnacentral:rRNA from 1 species